rnacentral:tRNA from 1 species
GCCCAAAACGGCGAGGGAAGCUGACUCUUAAUCAGCGGGUCCUAGGUUCGAACCCUAGUGCGCCCACCA